AUACGUAGGUGGCAAGCGUUGUUCGGAAUUACUGGGCGUAAAGGGAGCGUAGGCGGAGAUUCAAGCGGAUUGUACAAUCCCGGGGCCCAACCCCGGCUCUGCAGUCCGAACUGGAUCUCUUGGAUAGUUCAGGGGCAGGCGGAAUUCCUGGUGUAGCGGUGGAAUGCGUAGAGAUCAGGAAGAACACCGAUGGCGAAGGCAGCCUGCUGGGGACUUAUCGACGCUGAGGCUCGAAAGUGCGGGUAGCAAACAGGAUUAGAUACCCUGGUAGUCCGCACCGUAAACGAUGCACUCUGGGUGUCCGGGGGUUCCCCCGGGUACCGUAGCCAACGCGUUAAGUAUGCCGCCUGGGGAGUACGUACGCAAGUAUGAAACUCAAAGGAAUUGACGGGG
rnacentral:rRNA from 1 species